rnacentral:rRNA from 1 species
UGUGAGAGCAUGACCCGCCUCACUGGGACUGAGACACUGCCCAGACUCCUACGGGAGGCUGCAGUCAAGAAUCUUCCGCAAUGGCCGAAAGGCUGACGGAGCAAUGCCGCGUGCCGGAUGAAGCCCUUUGGGGUGUAAACGGCUUUUAUAGAGGAAUAAGUCCCGACGCAAGUCGGGGUUGAAGGUACUCUAAGAAUAAGGGGCUGCUAACUUCGUGCCAGCAGCAGCGGUAAUACGAAGGCCCCGAGCGUUAUCCGGAUUUAUUGGGUGUAAAGGGUCCGCAGGCGGUUUGUUAAGUCUUUGUUUAAAGACCGAUGCUCAACAUCGGAAUGGGCAAAGAUACUGGCAAACUUGAGGCCGGGAGAGGCUAGUGGAACGACUGGUGUAGGGGUAAAAUCCGUUAAUAUCAGUCGGAACACCAAAAGCGAAAGCAGCUAGCUAGAACGGUUCUGACGCUAAGGGACGAAAGCGUGGGUAGCGAAUGGGAUUAGAUACCCCAGUAGUCCACGCCCUAAACGAUGGAUACUAGGGAUUGGAAGUAUCGACCCUUUCAGUCUCGCCUCCAACUUAGCUAACGCGUUAAGUAUCCCACCUGGGAAGUACGGCCGCAAGGCUAAAACUCAAAUGAAUUGACGG